AUGCCGGUGUUCUCGGUGGUCUCCAGCCGUGGCUCCUGCUGGACCUGGGCUCUGCCACCAGCCACUGCCAAGAAAGGAUGCCCAUGACCUUGUGAUAAAGGGAUGAGGUUGGCCCUCAGCUACUCCCAAGCUGCAGCUCAAAAGCACAUCCACGAGGAAAAGAGUCAGCCCUGGCUGAGCUUGCCAGCAGAACUGCCUGGCACUGAUGCCGCUGAGGUCACAGAAGGACAGCAAGAAGCCCUCAGCUGCACCAGCUGCACACUGGAUCUGAGCACCACCUGCACGUUGGAUCGAUGCCCAGCCAGUCCCGGGGCAGUGAUUGGCACCUCCUGCACCACUCCCCCCCAGCUGAUACACUGAGCAUGGCAUCAUACGGACAUGAGGCACUGGAAAGCCCUUGACUGAGGGUAAGCACUACUGAGCCAGAACUAAACCAUCAGUGUGUUACAACAUCAUUCUCAGACUAAAUCCACAACACACCUCUGUGCCACCUUCUAAGAAGAUGCAGCAGGAUGUUCUGCCUUGGGAGGGGUUACCAUCCUUAGACGAGUCCCUUCAAGGCAAACAUGUCUGGGAACAGCACCUCGUGCAAACACCUAUACCCAGAGUCAGACACACUGCUUCUCUUUGGCUGCAGGACUCCCAGCAAAACCCUCUUUGGUAUAACCUCCUCACUCAAGAUUAGGGUAUGAUGACUGACACUUGUGUGGGGAUGAAAGUCCUCAAAAGGGUGAGGUGAUAUCUUAUAAACCCAGGAAUUUUCCUGCCUUAUCGAAUGCAGUGAAAAGGUGUUAGGGUGUCGUGAAAGACGAGGGAUGUUUUGACAGGGGGCAAAGAUAGGGAAAGAGAAUGAUGGAAGUUUUGCGACUGCAGGGGGGCGAGGGUGCCGGUGUCGGUGCCGGUUUCUCUGUCGGUGUCUCUGUCGGUGUCUCUGUCGGUGUCAAUGCCGGUGUCGGUGUCUCUGUCGGUGUCGGUGUCGGUGCCGGUGCCGGUGUCGGUGUCGGAAGCGCCCCGGCAGCCCGGCACG